AGCGGCCGCUCUGUUUGAUCCUGGCAGAGGUUACUGCUAUCGAGGUCCGACUAAGCCAUGCGAGUCGAAUGUAGCAAUACAUGGCGUACUGCUCAGUAACACGUGGACAACCUACCCUCAGCACGGGGAUAAACCCGGGAAACUGGGUAUAAUACCCGAUAGUUCUGGGAAGCUGGAAUGCUUCCAGGACGAAAGCUCCGGCGACUGAGGAUGGGUCUGCGGCCUAUCAGGUGGUAGUGGGUGUAAUGUACCUACUAGCCUACGACGGGUACGGGUCGUGAGAGCGAGAGCCCGGAGAUGGAUUCUGAGACACGAAUCCAGGCCCUACGGGGCGCAGCAGGCGCGAAAACUUUACAAUGCUGGGAACAGCGAUAAGGGGACCUCGAGUGCCAGGUUACAAAUCUGGCUGUCGUGAUGCCUAAAAAGCAUUGCAUAGCAAGGGCCGGGCAAGACCGGUGCCAGCCGCCGCGGUAACACCGGCGGCUCGAGUGGUAACCGUUAUUAUUGGGUCUAAAAGGUCUGUAGCCGGCCGGAUAAGUCUCUUGGGAAAUCCAGCAGCUCAACUGUCGGGCUUUCAGGAGAUACUGUCUGGCUCGAGGCCGGGAGAGGUGAGAGGUACUUCAGGGGUAGGGGUGAAAUCUUGUAAUCCUUGAAGGACCACCAGUGGCGAAGGCGUCUCACCAGAACGGACCUGACGGCAAGGGACGAAAGCCAGGGGCACGAACCGGAUUAGAUACCCGGGUAGUCCUAGCCGUAAAUGAUACCCCCUAGGUGUCGGCCACGGUGCGACCGUUGUCGGUGCCGUAGGGAAGCCGUGAAGCGAGCCACCUGGGAAGUACGGCCGCAAGGCUGAAACUUAAAGGAAUUGGCGGGGGAGCACCACAACGGGUGGAGCUUGCGGUUUAAUUGGAUUCAACGCCGGAAAUCUACCGGGACCGACAGCAAUAUGAAGGCCAGGCUGAAGACUUUGCCGGAUUAGCUGAGAGGUGGUGCAUGGCCGUCGUCAGUUCGUACUGUGAAGCAUCCUGUUAAGUCAGGCAACGAGCGAGACC
rnacentral:rRNA from 1 species